rnacentral:rRNA from 1 species
UUUUAUGAGAGUUUGAUCCUGGCUCAGGACGAACGCUGGCGGCGUGCCUAAUACAUGCAAGUCGAACGCUUCUUUUUCCACCGGAGCUUGCUCCACCGGAAAAAGAAGAGUGGCGAACGGGUGAGUAACACGUGGGUAACCUGCCCAUCAGAAGGGGAUAACACUUGGAAACAGGUGCUAAUACCGUAUAACAAUCGAAACCGCAUGGUUUUGAUUU